UACGAAGGGUGCAAGCGUUAAUCGGAAUUACUGGGCGUAAAAGCGUGCGUAGGCGGUUUUGUUAAGUCUGUUGUGAAAGCCCUGGGCUCAACCUGGGAAUGGCAAUGGAAACUGGCGAGCUAGAGUCAGGUAGAGGGGUGGUGGAAUUCCCGGUGUAGCGGUGAAAAUGCGUAGAGAUGGGGAGGAACAUCUGUGGCGAAAGGCGGCCCACCUGGACCAUGACUACGCUGAGGCACGAAAGCGUGGGGGAGCAAAACAGG
rnacentral:rRNA from 1 species